rnacentral:rRNA from 1 species
UACGUAGGGUGCGAGCGUUGUCCGGAAUUAUUGGGCGUAAAGAGCUCGUAGGCGGUUUGUCGCGUCGGCCGUGAAAACUUGGGGCUUAACCCCAAGCCUGCGGUCGAUACGGGCAGACUUGAGUUCGGCAGGGGAGACUGGAAUUCCUGGUGUAGCGGUGAAAUGCGCAGAUAUCAGGAGGAACACCGGUGGCGAAGGCGGGUCUCUGGGCCGAUACUGACGCUGAGACGCGAAAGCGUGGGGAGCGAACAGG